UGGGGAAUUUUGGACAAUGGGCGCAAGCCUGAUCCAGCCAUGCCGCGUGAGUGAAGAAGGCCUUCGGGUUGUAAAGCUCUUUCGGCCGGAACGAAAUCGCGCCCCCUAAUACGGGGUGUGGAUGACGGUACCGGAAGAAGAAGCACCGGCUAACUACGUGCCAGCAGCCGCGGUAAUACGUAGGGUGCGAGCGUUAAUCGGAAUUACUGGGCGUAAAGCGUGCGCAGGCGGCGCGCCAAGUCAGAUGUGAAAGCCCCGGGCUUAACCUGGGAAUUGCGUUUGAAACUGGCGGGCUGGAGUGUGGCAGAGGGAGGUGGAAUUCCACGUGUAGCAGUGAAAUGCGUAGAGAUGUGGAGGAACACCGAUGGCGAAGGCAGCCUCCUGGGCCAACACUGACGCUCAUGCACGAAAGCGUGGGGAGCAAACAGG
rnacentral:rRNA from 1 species